CCUACGGGAGGCAGCAGUAGGGAAUUUUCCACAAUGGGCGAAAGCCUGAUGGAGCAACGCCGCGUGCAGGAUGAAGGCCUUCGGGUCGUAAACUGCUUUUAUAUGUGAAGCGGUAGCAUAUGAAUAAGGGUCGGCUAACUCCGUGCCAGCAGCCGCGGUCAUACGGAGGACCCAAGCGUUAUCCGGAAUUACUGGGCGUAAAGAGUGCGUAGGUGGCAGAGUAAGCAAACAGUGAAAUCGUGUGGCUCAACCAUACACACAUUGUUUGAACUGCUCAGCUAGAAGACGAGAGAGGUAGAUGGAAUUCCCUGUGUAGGAGUGAAAUCCGUAGAUAUAGGGAGGAACACCGAUGGCGUAGGCAGUCUACUGCCGUUCUUGACACUAAGGCACGAAAGCGUGGGGAGCAAACGGGAUUAGAUACCCUAGUAGUC
rnacentral:rRNA from 1 species